rnacentral:lncRNA from 12 species
CUCUGGCAGCCUGAGAGCUUCUUGAGGACAGGACUGAAUGCAUCUCUGUGGCUCUAGGGGCUCUGGAGUAGGCUCUCAAUUGGGGUUUACUAAAUAAACAACAAACUAAGUCUACACAAGAUAUGAGGACGUGGAGCUGUGAAGGCCCUUUGCUCAGAAAGUGAGAGAGAGCUCUGCUGAUGGACACCAAUACCUCUGCCACUGACGGGAGCUUCUGAAAGGUUAGGGUCUAAAGGCAUCGUUCCCCAAGACAGGUGGCCAGGAGGGGUUCUUGGGCCUUGGCCUGAGUCAGCAGAACUCGAGUGUUCGUGGAGUCCUGGGCCCAGAGAAGACACACUUG